rnacentral:rRNA from 1 species
GGAUUAGAUACCCUAUUAUUUCAGAUUUAAAAUUUUAUAUGCUUAGGUAGUAUUAGAUAUGGGCUUGAAACCUAAAGAAUUUGGCGGUAUUUUAGUCUUUUUAGAGGAAUCUGUCCCUUAAUCGAUAAUCCACGUUGAACCUUACUUGAUUUAAUCAGUCUGUAUAUCGCCGUUUUUGAAAAUCUUUUUAGAGAAUUUUCUUAAUAUAAAAUUUUAUAAGAAUUCAGGUCAAGGUGCAGUUUAUGAUCAAGUGGAGAUGGAUUACAUUAUAUUCAUUAAAACGGAUUAAAUUUUGUAAUUUAAUUUAUGAAGGUGGAUUUAAUAGUAAUUAUUUAAAGAUUAUUAUUUUGACUUUGGCUCUAAAAUGUGUACACAUCGCCCGUCACUCUCAUUAUUAAGAUGAGAUAAGUC